AUUUCGUUUGUUUUUCAAACCGUUCGUAAAACCGCGUAAGCAUAGAUGUUAAAUAUUCAAGUAAAAUGUAAAACAUUAUUAUUAUACACGUACCUGAUUGUUAACUUUCUCAUUAAACCCAUCAUAUUGUGAUGUUUAUAGUAUUACUGUUUUGAUAACAUUGUUUAGAAUUUUGCCCAAUUAUAAUUACAAUCCACCUGAGUAAUUAUUACUGUGACGUCGACUUUUGGUAGAUGUUUUCGUUUAGUCGACAUGCGCACCACACAUUGUGAAAUCUAAAAUAAACACAAUACAAUUUGAUUUAUCCUUUACAUUUCUGUCAGAGACGCUUAGGAGAACCAAUUUUAGGAUCCGAAUUAAAGCUUUCUUUAAAACAACUGAUUUAUCUGUAGGUAAGUACAUGGUGGCAUCAUCUACACAUCCCUUCGUGUCUCUAAAGGAAGUGCGCAGAAGAAUUUAUUAUCAGUUUAAAAAAACACAAAUAUCUGGUUUUUUGUUAGGUAUCCACGAAGUGUCACAUGAUUGCGUGCAAAGUAGGUAGGUAUAUUUCAUUGAAUAGAAUGUGUACCACACUUGUAUAAAUAUUUUAAUAAACAAAUAUUGAUCUUCAUUUAUAAAAGUGCGCGAUCUUAUUAAAGUCAAUCGCAAUUGGUUUAUAUCUAGUGAUUUGUUUUGCAGCAUUUAUUUCUAAGUAUAUUAGACAAUAUUUUGCUAGCGACUGCGCCCGCGUGUAGUCAAGUUAUACUUAUAGUAACCGAUAAAAUAUAUUUGCAAGUUACUUGGGCUUCGCGCGAUGUCCAAUAUGGAUAGACCACUACGGUUACUAACACAUCUUGAGCAAUUUCCCUACGAAAUUGUUGAAAUCGGAGAUAUUUUUUUAUUACUACCGUCCUGGGCACUGGCAAGGGGUACAAAGAAAAAGGCCUCGCAAUGAUCAGCCCUAGCGUAGCUUUUUUAUGACUUUAUCUUUUGCUUUUGCCCGAUACCUUGAGCGGCAAGUAUUGGGUCCACGUCGGGCGGCAAGAGUCCAGACUACGCCGCUGUUCCUAUCAUUAAUUUUUUUCUUCUCAAAAUUUGUCCAUUAGCCAGUCACGAAGGAGAUUACGUAACAAAAUUAAUUAAAUUAUGUAAAUACCUAGAUAUAUGUUACCUUCUUGUAAUACGUAAUUAAUGACAUAAAAUUUGUAGUCUCAAGUCUCUGUACCUAAUAGUUAUGUAGCUCUCAAAAUAAACUUAGCGUAAAGAACUCCCUGUGGGAAACCACUUCUCACGACUUCAAAUCGUCGCUUUAUCCUAAUCGAAGGCAUAAAACACUCCAAAAUGUUAAAUGUGGUUAAACCAAGUUACCUUUGUCAGCAAUCGGCAAUACGAUUUACAACUUAAAUACCUACUACCAGGGGCGUAGCGAAGGGUAGCAAUGGUGGUCGGCACCCACCGUAGAACGUCAUUGCCCACGCUAGAAAAAGCCGGCAGAGGUCUCCCGUGGUGCAGACAUUUCGUUGCAGACACGCUCUUCCUAUUGUGAAUCGACAGGAAAAUCUUAUACGAACAUCAAAGGUUCAUUCAAUCAAAGGAUCCCAGCACCUAAAGCAAUUAGAAGUAGUAAGCGAAAUGGGCAGAACAAUCCACACAAGCAGCACCCGUUCACGAGUAUGACGCAUGUGCCAGCCAUCGGCCUCCUCAACCAUAUUGUAGGGAAGUGGCCGACCCGUCACACGACGCCGCCGCAGGUACAGACAGAGAGUAUUUCAUACCCAAGCCGCUUGUAUAAGCUUAAACUGCGAGGUUGCAGCAAAGAUUUUUUCAAAAUGUAAUAGAAGUAAAAUUAUUUAUUUUGUAUUGGGUUCAAUUGAUGGUAAAAUUAAACAAAUUCAAUUUUAAAUAUGUAUAUUAUAAUAAACAAAAAAG
rnacentral:lncRNA from 1 species